AACGAACGCUGGCGGCAUGCCUAACACAUGCAAGUCGAACGAGACCUUCGGGUCUAGUGGCGCACGGGUGCGUAACGCGUGGGAACCUGCCCUUAGGUUCGGAAUAACUCCCCGAAAGGGGUGCUAAUACCGGAUAAUAUCUUCGGACCAAAGAUUUAUCGCCUUUGGAUGGGCCCGCGUUGGAUUAGCUAGUUGGUAGGGUAAAAGCCUACCAAGGCGACGACCCAUAGCUGGUCUGAGAGGAUGAGCAGCCACACUGGGACUGAGACACGGCCCAGACUCCUACGGGAGGCAGCAGUGGGGAAUAUUGGAAAAUGGGCGAAAGCCUGAUCCAGCAAUGCCGCGUGAGUGAUGAAGGCCUUAGGGUUGUAAAGCUCUUUUACCCGGGAUGAUAAUGACAGUACCGGGAGAAUAAGCUCCGGCUAACUCCGUG
rnacentral:rRNA from 1 species